CUAUGCGCCUUGCCACGCCCGCUCAGAAACUUAAAGGAAGUUGACGGGGGCCCGCACAAGCGGUGGAGUAUGUGGUUUAAUUCGAUGAUACGCGAGGAACCUUACCUGGGCUCAAAUGUAUGUUGACGUAUUCUGAAAGGGAUACUUCUUCGGACAAUAUACAAGGUGCUGCAUGGUUGUCGUCAGCUCGUGCCGUGAGGUGUCGGGUUAAGUCCCAUAACGAGCGCAACCCUUGUCCUUAGUUACCAGCACGUUAUGGUGGGCACUCUAAGGAGACUGCCGGUGACAAACCGGAGGAAGGUGGGGAUGACGUCAAGUCAUCAUGGCCCUUACGGCCUGGGCUACACACGUGCUACAAUGGUCGGUACAAAGGGUUGCCAAGCCGCGAGGUGGAGCUAAUCCCAUAAAACCGAUCGUAGUCCGGAUCGCAGUCUGCAACUCGACUGCGUGAAGUCGGAAUCGCUAGUAAUCGUGAAUCAGAAUGUCACGGUGAAUACGUUCCCGGGCCUU
rnacentral:rRNA from 1 species